CUCCCGCACUCGCCCCUCCCCCGCGGCUAGCUCCUCCCGCCUCGCCUCUCUCUCUCCCUCCAAACCCUAGAACCUCAUCUGCGCCUCCCAGCCCCGCCGCCGUCCAGGUCCAGCCCCAUGCCGCCGUCGUCUUCUCGCCCAGCCGGCCGCCGCCGCACCGCACGAUCGUGCGCAAGGGUGAGAAGGGAACUACUGCCCGCUCCUGGAGCACGAGGAGGACGCGGUGAUGCGGCGCCCAGAUCCACGGUGACAUCGACGCGCCGUCAUCGACCUGAGCCGCCACCGUCCUCGAGGUCGGCCAUGGAGGGGGGUCCGACCCAGCUGCAGCCGUUGACGGAGACACCCCAAACCCUAGCACGGGGACCGAGCCGCCAUGGAAGGAGGCCAGCGGCGAGGACGACGCCAUGGUCCCUGCUGUGCUCCCGGAUCCGUCGCCCAUCUGCCCCGACCUGGCCCUUCUCCUUCCCGCCGGCCAAGCGGAGCCGCUCGUGUCGCUGCUCUACCUGACGAGGGCAUCGUGCUGAGCCCUGGAAAAUGAAUGGCUUCAAUGGUGGGUGCAUGUAUGGUCAGGGGAUUGUUUGGUCCAUGCAUGGAAGUGGACUGAUUAG